UACGUAGGGUGCGAGCGUUGUCCGGAAUUAUUGGGCGUAAAGGGCUCGUAGGCGGUCUGUCGCGUCGGGAGUGAAAACUCAGGGCUUAACCCUGAGCCUGCUUCCGAUACGGGCAGACUAGAGGUAUGCAGGGGAGAACGGAAUUCCUGGUGUAGCGGUGGAAUGCGCAGAUAUCAGGAGGAACACCGGUGGCGAAGGCGGUUCUCUGGGACGGUACUGACGCUGAGACGCGAAGGCGUGGGGAGCGAACAGG
rnacentral:rRNA from 1 species